AGUGAGACCUCCCGCAAGGGACUUCUGCGCANGUGGUGCAUGGCUGCUCGCUCAGCUCGUGCCGUGAGGUGUUGGGUUAAGUCCCGCAACGAGCGCAACCCCUGCUCCUUAGUUGAAUGUUCUAGGGAGACUGCCGGGCGAAACCCGGAGGAAGGUGGNGAUGACGUCAAGUCCGCAUGCCCUUUAUAUCCAGGGCUACACACACGCUACAAUGGNCGGUACAACGGGUUCCGACACGGCGACGUGAAGGCAAUCCCUUAAAGCCGGUCUCAGUUCGGAUUGCAGGCUGCAACUCGCCUGCAUGAAGUCNGAGUUGCUANUAACCGCAGGUCANCACACUGCGGUGAAUACNUUCCCGGGNCUUGCACUCACCGCCCGUCACAUCACUUGAAUCUGUUGCUCCCGAAGUCGCUGGCCNAACCCNUAAGGGACGGAGGCGCCAAAGGAGUGGCCGGUGAGAGGGGUGAAGUCGUAACAAGGUAGCCGUAA
rnacentral:rRNA from 1 species